AUGGCUGCCCGACAUUACUCAGCCUCCUCUGCAAGCUCAUGUCCACAGCAUCUGCUGAAAGGGAGAAGGCCGCUACGAGACCCAGAGUGUGCGGCUUGCCCCAAAUCAAGCGCGGCUCCUUCGACUCAGGCCUCUCCCUGCACCCCAGUCACAGGAGUUGACAGGCACUGCCUCCAAGUCACUGCUGGCCACCCUGCACGGCUGUCAGGGUCACUCUGGGCCACAGCCUCCAAUGGCUACCUUGUGCUCGCUGUCCCUGCCGGGCUCCCCAUCUCCGUGGCCCAGAGCUGGUGCCUCUGCUGGACUGGGCCGCGUCUGAGCUCCGUCACUAGGGGCACGUUUCUCCAGAGCACAGCAUCUCCAUCCCUCACCUGGCGUAUGGCACUUCACAUGAAAAUCUGGUCUUGGCUUCCUGAUGCCACUGUGACAAAUUCCACAACACUGUGACUUUGAAGGACAGAGGUUCGUUCUUUUACAGUUCCAGUGGCCAAAAACCUGCAUCUAGUUCCACUGAGCUGAGAGGAAGGUUUCCCCAGCCCCUGGCCCUGCUGAGCCCCGGGAGACUCUGUUCCCUGCCCCUUCCGGUUUCCGUGGCUGUGGCACCCGUGGCUGGGGCCACAUCACUCCUGCAUCUGCCCCUGUGGUCACGAUGCCUGAGCCCGUCUGAGUAGAGUUCCCCUCAGCCUGAGUCUCACUUCUUCAGGAGUCCCUGUGACUCCACCUAGGGCUCCCUGGACACCCCGGGGGAAACUUCCCGCCUCAGAGUCCCUAACGUAAUCCCAUCAGCAGGAAACUGUUUUCCAUUUAAGUUUCCAGGGAUGAGGAGCUGUUAUCUCUGGAGACCAUUAGGCUGCUGCAAAUUAUAACCUAAAUAGUGUACUUAAUAUUUGGGUAAAUAAAUAUCGUACCAACAGAAAAGACGACGUUGAAGUAGAAAUGACAGAACGUAGUCCCCAGAGAGGUCACACCUAGUCCGCACACACACACACACACACACACACACACACACACACACACACGGCUCUGGGCAUCAGCAGAAGCCUUUCCAAUUUGUGUCUACAGACCAAGGUCUUAUUUACAAAUAACAACGCAGAAUUAAAAUGUAUUUCAAGACACUCAAGUGAGACUACGAAAAUGAUAAAAGGAAAGGUUUGGCUCUAUGUAAAGGAAGAUUUGUUUCACAACUAAAGUGCUUUGAAAUAAUAAAAAUAGCUAAGGUCAAUGUGCAUUAAAGAUUUAACAGCCUGAAAGGUUGGACAAAACUAAAUCUGCAAAUGUCUCCAUCAAGCUCUAACCUCACUCCUCUGCUCUCUUCCAAGUCCCACGAGGAAUCAUGAAACGACUGAGCUUCAAUCACAACCCCCAUGCUCACAAAGCUCCUGCUGGUCCACAGCCCAGGAGUGGUUGGAGUGACACCAACCACUGCAGACCAGUGAACCGACCCAGAGUGAACGGCUUGCUCAAGAAACUCCAAGAAUAACUGUCCGACUAACGGGGUGUGGGCUGCAUACUUCUUGGUUCGGUGUACUUGUACAUAUGCUAGCAUUAAAUUCAAG
ensembl:lincRNA